rnacentral:rRNA from 1 species
UGACGCUGGCGGCAGGCUACACCUGCAGUCGAACGGUAACAGGAUAGCUUGCUAUCGCUGACGAGUGGCGGACGGGUGAGUAAUACUUAGGGAUCUGCCUCUGUGUGGGGGAUAACUAUUGGAAACGAUAGCUAAUACCGCAUAAUGUCUACGGACCAAAGCGGGCUUCGGCUCGUGCGCAGAGAGGAACCUAAGCGAGAUUAGCUAGUUGGUGAGGUAAAGGCUCACCAAGGCGACGAUCUCUAGCUGUUCUGAGAGGAAGAUCAGCCACACUGGAACUGAGACACGGUCCAGACUCCUACGGGAGGCAGCAGUGGGGAAUAUUGCACAAUGGGGGAAACCCUGAUGCAGCCAUGCCGCGUGUGUGAAGAAGGCCUUCGGGUUGUAAAGCACUUUCAGUUGUGAGGAAAGUUUAGUAGUUAAUACCUGCUAGAUGUGACGUUAGCAACAGAAGAAGCACCGGCUAACUCCGUGCCAGCAGCCGCGGUAAUACGGAGGGUGCGAGCGUUAAUCGGAAUUACUGGGCGUAAAGCGCACGCAGGCGGUCUGUUAACGCUAG